GUACUGUAUUUUAAGCGAUAUAGGAGUAAAUCUAAAAUAAUCAGUGAGAAAUAAGCCUAAAUCAAGCUUGCUAGACCAACAACAUAAAUAAUCUGAUCUUAGAAUUUACCAAAGCUAUGAAACACACAUCCAAAUCAGCCAGCCUUAACUAGUUAAACUAGGAAUCAUAGUCCUUAAUUAAUACAUAUUCUACCAAGUUCAAAACAUUCUUGAAUCAGCUGUAUUCACACAAGGUCCAAAUCCAGCACUUAAAACCAAAUGUAUAUCAGGAAAUGGAGUAUUCACACUAAGCUAGACUAAAACAUGAAUAAGAAUAUGGCAAAAUCAAACAGUAACCAACAAUAAGGACUAAUGUUUUUCAUUCAACUUCAGCUCGGUUUACAAAUCUUUAUAUGAAACUCAAACAGGCUUCAUUUCCAACCAUGAUUUCAGAAGAGUACCUGGUGCAGUUAGAGCAAAGAAAAGAGGAAGAAAUCAGUAGAGCAUCAACAAGAAGUCAGCAGCAGAAAUCAGCUCAAACCAAGCUUGAAUGCCCAAGUUUAAAACUCAAAACAACCCCAGGAGCUUUAAAAGAACCUCAUACGCUAACCACAUGAAUGCUUAAACCAUUUUCAACUCAAAUAAACCAGAGAUUUGAUUCAGAACUGGAAAAAAAACUUCAAAAUCACCAAAUGAAUUUCAAUGGAACAGUAGUUUUUAUCUAUCUUUUAGCCAUUUCUCUUUUUUUCUAUAUUUUUUAGCCCUUCCAAAUCUGCCUUGAGCUCUAAGUAACAAUACCUUUAUAGGCAAGCUACUAGGGCAGCCUUAAAGAAUUCAAAAUUGCCCUUAAAACCUUCUGAAAUUUUCAUUUUAGCUUAGCAAUCUCUGGUGUAAACCUCAGAAUUCCAAAAUAGCCCCCACCCCAGCUUCUUAGAAGCUUACUCAAUCAGUUUUCAAAGAUUCCCUAAACCAGAAUUCCUAAAUUACCCUCAAACCCCUGAAAAUUACCCUCCAGGACCUCAAAUGGGUCAUGGGUCAAAUGACCUAAUGGUUAAACCAGACCUGGGCUCAAAAAAUCAAUUCGAAUUCUUUGGAAUGGUUUCUGAAAUGAAUUCAGAGCUCAAACAAAAUGAACCAAGAUUGAGUAAAUUGUGGCAAGCGGUAGGAAAACGACUAAACAAUUUUCACAAAACUUAAAACCUAAGCGAAGGGACUAAAUUAUCAUAUAAUCCUAAUUAAGAUAACAGGGCUAAACAAACAAAGUGAAAUCAGAAAUUAAUCGUGUCGUCAACAAAAGAACUAGACAGACCAAACAAAAAAAAUCACAGAACCAAACUUGAAAUGAAAAAUCUGAAAAGGAACAAAACGGACAGUAUCAAUCUCAGCCAAAAACUCGUUCAAUUUUAGUUUAAUUAACCGGAGGGAGAGAGAAGAAGAGAAGAGGAGAGAAAGCUGAAAGAAUCACAAGAGUGAACGAAAGGAAAGAAAGAAACUCACCAACUCGGGCUCAAACUUUCGACUGACUUUCUGAUUUAAACCCCUGAAUAACGUCAACUACUUAUUCUUUGUCGAAUAACGUUAUUCCAUAGUAGAACUGGCCCGCAACACUCAUAAAAACUGGGGAAACACCAUUGCAUGUGCAGAUUUGGUUUUGACUUCUGGGGCUCGAACCUUAGAUUUAAGAUUCGAGACGCUCUAGCAAGAUUCGAGGGGAACGGAGUGGGGAUUUGAUACAAUGGGGUCAUGGUCGUUUUACGGUGUCAAUUUGGUGGUGAACAGAGGCGGCGCCGCCACCGGAGGAAAUGAGGGCGGCGCUAGGGUUUGUGACUUCAUCCUCAGAUUCGAGAGAUUCUGGGUGUGUUCGAAUGAAGUUGGUUGUGGAUUGGGAUUGUAGAGGGGAAGAGGAGUUUAGGGUGUGAAUAUGGUGGUCAUCGGAGACUCGCCGCCGUUCUUAGGGUGAUGGAUAACAGGGGCGGCGUCUUUUAGGGUUUCUGAGGCAGGGGGUUGUGAGAGACGAUGAGGGCUGGGGGGAGGGGGGGUUUCGU
rnacentral:lncRNA from 1 species